rnacentral:rRNA from 1 species
UACAGAGGGUGCAAGCGUUGUUCGGAAUUAUUGGGCGUAAAGGGCGCGUAGGCGGUGCUGUAAGUCUGUGGUGAAAUCUCUGGGCUCAACUCAGAGUCUGCCAUAGAAACUGCAGUGCUGGAGUGUGGGAGAGGUGAGUGGAAUUCCCGGUGUAGCGGUGAAAUGCGCAGAUAUCAGGAAGAACACCCGUGGCUAAGGCGGCUCUCUAGUACGGUACUGACGCUGAGACGCGAAAGCGUGGGGAGCGAACAGG